rnacentral:rRNA from 1 species
GACGAACGCUGGCGGCGUGCUUAACACAUGCAAGUCGAGCGGAAAGGCCCUUCGGGGUACUCGAGCGGCGAACGGGUGAGUAACACGUGAGUAACCUGCCCCAGACUUUGGGAUAACCCUCGGAAACGGGGGCUAAUACCGGAUACGACACAGCUUCGCAUGGGGUCUGUGUGGAAAGUUUUUCGGUUUGGGAUGGGCUCGCGGCCUAUCAGCUUGUUGGUGGGGUGAUGGCCUACCAAGGCGACGACGGGUAGCGGGCCUGAGAGGGCGACCGGCCACACUGGGACUGAGACACGGCCCAGACUCCUACGGGAGGCAGCAGUGGGGAAUAUUGCACAAUGGGCGGAAGCCUGAUGCAGCGACGCCGCGUGAGGGAUGACGGCCUUCGGGUUGUAAACCUCUUUCAGCAGGGACGAAGCGUAAGUGACGGUACCUGCAGAAGAAGCGCCGGCCAACUACGUG